rnacentral:lncRNA from 1 species
ACCACCCCCACCCCCCGUCCCCGUCCCCCACCUCCACCAUGGCCGGGUGCUGCGCCCGGCGGGCGUCCAGGUGAGCCAGCAGCGCCUGCGCCAGCACCGCCGUGUCCUCGGGGCCCCUGGGGACACGGGGACGUGGGACAGGGGGACACGGGGACAGGGGACAGGGGGACACAGGUUUUGGGGACAUAGGACAUGGGACACAGGGACAGGGGGAUAUGGGGGCAGGGGACAUGGGACACAGGGACAUGGAUGUUGGGGACAGGGGACACAGGGACACGGGGACAGGGGGACACGGGUGUUGGAGACAUGGGGCAGUGGUCUUGGGGACCUGGGGACAUGGGACACAGGGACAUGGGGACAUGGAUGUUGGGGACAUGGGACAUGGGGACACAGGGACGUGGGGACAUGGGGACAUCGGUGUUGGGGACAUUGGGAUGCAGGGACAUCAGGACACAGGGACAUGGGGACAUGGGGGACAUGGGGAUGUUGGCGUUGGGGACAUGGGACAUGGACAUGGGGACAUGGGCGUUGGGGACAGAGGAGAUGGGAACAGAGGGACACAGGGACACGGGGACACAGGGACGUCGGUGUUGGGGACGGGACAUGGGGAGAUGGGGACAGAGUGACAUGGGGACACAGGGACAUGGGGAUGUUGGUGUUGGGGACAGGGGACAUGGGACACGGUGAGAUGGGGACAGGGGGACGUGGGGACACGUGGACAUGGAUGUUGGGGAUGGGACAUGGGGAGAUGGGGACAUGGGGACAUAGGAACACAGGAACGGUGACAUGGGGACAUCAGUUGUUGGGGACACAGGGACACGGUGACAUGGGGACAUGGGCGUUCGGGACAGGGGAUAUGGGACACAGUGAGAUGGGGACACGGGGACACAGGGACAUGGAUGUUGGGGACAGGGGACACAGGGCCAUGGGGACGUGGGAACACGGGGACAUGGAUGUUGGGGACAUGGGGACGUCCGUGUUGGGGACGGGACAUGGGGAGAUGGGGACAGAGUGACAUGGGGACACAGAAACAGUGACAUGGGGACAUCGGUUGGGGACAUGGGGAC